AACGUACGCUGGCGGCACGCCUAACACAUGCAAGUCGAACGAAGUAGCAAUACUUAGUGGCAGACGGGUGAGUAACAUGUAGGUAUCUGCCCUUUGGCCUGGAAUAACACGAGGAAACUUGUGCUAAUACCGGAUAAGUCUUUACGGAGAAAGCUUUAUGCACCAUUGGAUGAGCCUGCACUUGAUUAGUUUGUUGGUGGGGUAAUGGCCUACCAAGACUGUGAUCAAUAGCUGAUUUGAGAGGAUGAUCAGCCACAUUGGGACUGAGACACGGCCCAAACUCCUACGGGAGGCAGCAGUGGGGAAUCUUGCACAAUGGAGGAAAGUCUGAUGCAGCGAUGCCGCGUGAGUGAAGAAGGCCUUUGGGUUGUAAAGCUCUUUCGUCGGGGAAGAAAAUGACUGUACCCGAAUAAGAAGGUCCGGCUAACUUCGUGCCAGCAGCCGCGGUAAUACGAAGGGACCUAGCGUAGUUCGGAAUUACUGGGCUUAAAGAGUUCGUAGGUGGUUGAAAAAGUUAGAGGUGAAAUCCCAGAGCUUAACUCCGGAAUUGCCAUUAAAACUUUUCAGCUAGAGUACGAUAGAGGAAAGCAGAAUUUCUAGUGUAGAGGUGAAAUUCGUAGAUAUUAGAAAGAACACCAAUGCGAAGGCAGCUCUCUGGAUCAUUACUGA
rnacentral:rRNA from 1 species